AUUGAACGCUGGCGGCAGGCCUAACACAUGCAAGUCGAGCGGAUGAAGGGAGCUUGCUCCUGGAUUCAGCGGCGGACGGGUGAGUAAUGCCUAGGAAUCUGCCUGGUAGUGGGGGAUAACGUCCGGAAACGGGCGCUAAUACCGCAUACGUCCUGAGGGAGAAAGUGGGGGAUCUUCGGACCUCACGCUAUCAGAUGAGCCUAGGUCGGAUUAGCUAGUUGGUGGGGUAAAGGCCUACCAAGGCGACGAUCCGUAACUGGUCUGAGAGGAUGAUCAGUCACACUGGAACUGAGACACGGUCCAGACUCCUACGGGAGGCAGCAGUGGGGAAUAUUGGACAAUGGGCGAAAGCCUGAUACAGCCAUGCCGCGUGUGUGAAGAAGGUCUUCGGAUUGUAAAGCACUUUAAGUUGGGAGGAAGGGCAGUAAGUUAAGACCUUGCUGUUUUGACGUUACCAACAGAAUAAGCACCGGCUAACUUCGUG
rnacentral:rRNA from 1 species